GGCUUUGUAGUGUAACGGUUAUCACUCGAGAUUCUGAUUAAUCCUAUUAAUCUUCUCGCGACCUCGGUUCGACUCCGAGCAAGGCCU